rnacentral:lncRNA from 1 species
UCUACAGCAUACACUAAAUCUUACUUUCCCCAAAACUUUCAGAGAUACCACAGUGACUCUACAGAAGCUCACAAAUCUAUUGGCACGCAGCAGACUAGGGAUCAGAAACACAUACACAGGGGUGUGCAAGCUCCUGUCUGUCACAGCUUUACCUUUCUUUCUUUUUUUAUAUUAGAGUGAUGUGCUCCUGGAAGAAAAAGUCAACACAGAAGGAGCCUGUAUAUGGCCAGAUUACUUAGACCAUCAUCUUUAAAGCUGCUUUUGUCAACUGUGCCUGAUGAGCUUAAUGCUCAGGAAUCUCAGCUUCAUCAGAACUGACAUGAAUAUCCCACUGAGAAGUUUUGACUUUUACUUACUGACAUUGAUUGAAAAUGACAUGACGGG